rnacentral:rRNA from 1 species
UACGUAGGGGGCAAGCGUUGUCCGGAUUUAUUGGGCGUAAAGAGCGUGUAGGCGGCCUGACAGGUCUGCUGUGAAAACUCGAGGCUCAACCUCGAGAUGUCGGCGGAAACCGUCUGGCUAGAGUCCGGAAGAGGAGAGUGGAAUUCCUGGUGUAGCGGUGAAAUGCGCAGAUAUCAGGAAGAACACCAAUGGCGAAGGCAGAUCUCUGGGCCGUAACUGACGCUGAGGAGCGAAAGCAUGGGGAGCGAACAGG